AUGGGGCGUAUUGCGAGUGGCACUUUUGAUCACAUCAGUGAAAGAGCUCAUGGAAAAAUUCAAGGGUGGUUGGAGAAGUUGCUAUCUUGUGCAGGACAUGAGACACUCUUGAAAUCUGUUGUUCAAGCUAUUCCUACUUACCUAGUGAGUACCUUUUUGUUUAAAACGAAGGUUUGCAAGAGUUUGACUUCUCCCAUGGCAAAAUAUUUCUGGAGUAGUUCUCUUGACAAGAAAUCUAUGCAUUGGGUGUCAUGGAAAGAGUUAGCUACACCCAAGUGCAACGGUGGUAUGGGUUUCUAAGACCUACACCAAUUUAACCUUGUAGUGUUGGAAAAGCAUGGAUGGCAUUUUUUGACAAAUUCGAACUCCCUAUGUAAAAGUGUUUUGAAAGGCCGACACUUUCGUGACACUGAUUUCAUGCAAGCAUCCGCCCCCAAGCCGGCCUUGGCCAUGUGGAAGGCGAUCAUUGCAGGAAGAGAGGCACCAAGGAAUGGGUCGAUUUCAUGA
rnacentral:rRNA from 1 species